UCCGGUUUGGCACCGGCAGUCCCCCCAGAGUCCUCGGCAUAACCCGUUAGCAACUGGGAGCGGGGGUUGCGCUCGUUGCGGGACUUAACCCAACAUCUCACGACACGAGCUGACGACAGCCAUGCAGCACCUGUGCUGGAGUCCCGAAGGAGGCCCUCGGUUUCUCGAGGGUUUCCCCAGCAUGUCAAGCCUAGGUAAGGUUCUUCGCGUUGCGUCGAAUUAAACCACAUGCUCCACCGCUUGUGCGGGCCCCCGUCAAUUCCUUUGAGUUUCAGCCUUGCGGCCGUACUCCCCAGGCGGGGCACUUAAUGCGUUAGCGACGGCACUCAAGGGGUCGCUCCCCCAAGCACCUAGUGCCCAUCGUUUACGGCGUGGACUAC
rnacentral:misc_RNA from 1 species